AUUGAACGCUGGCGGCAGGCUUAACACAUGCAAGUCGAACGGUAACAUAAAGAAGCUUGCUUCUUUGAUGACGAGUGGCGGACGGGUGAGUAAUGCUUGGGAAUCUAGCUUAUGGAGGGGGAUAACUACGGGAAACUGUAGCUAAUACCGCGUAAUAUCGAAAGAUUAAAGUGUGGGACCUUCGGGCCACAUGCCAUAGGAUGAGCCCAAGUGGGAUUAGGUAGUUGGUGAGGUAAAGGCUCACCAAGCCGACGAUCUCUAGCUGGUCUGGGAGGAUGACCAGCCACACUGGGACUGAGACACGGCCCAGACUCCUACGGGCUGCAGCAGUGGGGAAUAUUGCGCAAUGGGGGCAACCCUGACGCAGCCAUGCCGCGUGAAUGAAGAAGGCCUUCGGGUUGUAAAGUUCUUUCGGUAGCGAAAGGCACUUAGUUUA
rnacentral:rRNA from 1 species